GUAGUCGUGGCCGAGUGGUUAAGGCGAUGGACUUGAAAUCCAUUCGAAUCGCGCAGGUUCGAAUCCUGCCGACUACG